GAUGAACGCUGGCUACAGGCUUAACACAUGCAAGUCGAGGGGAAACGACGGGGAAGCUUGCUUCCCCGGGCGUCGACCGGCGCACGGGUGAGUAACGCGUAUCCAACCUGCCUCUGACUGAGGGAUAACCCGUCGAAAGUCGGCCUAAUACCUCAUGGCAUCGUCUGCGGGCAUCCAACGACGAUUAAAGAUUUCAUCGGUCAGAGAUGGGGAUGCGUCUGAUUAGCUUGUUGGCGGGGUAACGGCCCACCAAGGCGACGUUCAGUAGGGGUUCUGAGAGGAAGGUCCCCCACAUUGGAACUGAGACACGGUCCAAACUCCUACGGGAGGCAGCAGUGAGGAAUAUUGAUCAAUGGGCGAGAGCCUGAACCAGCCAAGUAGCGUGCAGGAUGACGGCCCUAUGGGUUGUAAACUGCUUUUAUGCGGGGAUAAAGUGAGGGACGUGUCCUUCAUUGCAGGUACCGCAUGAAUAAGGACCGGCUAAUUCCGUG
rnacentral:rRNA from 1 species